CCUGGGAACUGCGUUNUGAACUGGGUGACUAGAGUGUGUCAGAGGGAGGUAGAAUUCCACGUGUAGCAGUGAAAUGCGUAGAGAUGUGGAGGAAUACCGAUGGCGAAGGCAGCNUCCUGGGAUAACACUGACGUUCAUGCCCGAAAGCGUGGGUAGCAAACAGGAUUAGAUACCCUGGUAGUCCACGCCCUAAACGAUGUCGAUUAGCUGUUGGGCAGCAUGACUGCUUAGUAGCGAAGCUAACGCGUGAAAUCGACCGCCUGGGGAGUACGGUCGCAAGAUUAAAACUCAAAGGAAUUGACGGGGACCCGCACAAGCGGUGGAUGAUGUGGAUUAAUUCGAUGCAACGCGAAGAACCUACCUGGUCUUGACAUGUACGGAACCCUCCAGAGACGGGGGGGUGCCUUCGGGAGCCGUAACACAGGUGCUGCAUGGCUGUCGUCAGCUCGUGUCGUGAGAUGUUGGGCUAAGUCCCGCAACGAGCGCAACCCUUGUCAUUAGUUGCCAUCAUUAAGUUGGGCACUCUAAUGAGACUGCCGGUGACAAGCCGGAGGAAGGUGGGGAUGACGUCAAGUCCUCAUGGCCCUUAUGACCAGGGCUUCACACGUCAUACAAUGGUCGGUACAGAGGGUAGCCAAGCCGCGAGGUGGAGCCAAUCUCACAAAACCGAUCGUAGUCCGGAUUGCACUCUGCAACUCGAGUGCAUGAAGUCGGAAUCGCUAGUAAUCGCAGGUCAGCAUACUGCGGUGAAUACGUUCCCGGGUCUUGUACACACCGCCCGUCACACCAUGGGAGUGGGGGAUACCAGAAG
rnacentral:rRNA from 1 species